GUGGGGAAUAUUGGACAAUGGGCGAAAGCCUGAUCCAGCCAUGCCGCGUGUGUGAAGAAGGUCUUCGGAUUGUAAAGCACUUUAAGUUGGGAGGAAGGGUAGUAACCUAAUACGUUGCUACUUUGACGUUACCGACAGAAUAAGCACCGGCUAACUUCGUGCCAGCAGCCGCGGUAAUACGAAGGGUGCAAGCGUUAAUCGGAAUUACUGGGCGUAAAGCGCGCGUAGGUGGUUCAGUAAGUUGGAAGUGAAAUCCCCGGGCUCAACCUGGGAACUGCUUUCAAAACUGCUGAGCUAGAGUACGGUAGAGGGUGGUGGAAUUUCCUGUGUAGCGGUGAAAUGCGUAGAUAUAGGAAGGAACACCAGUGGCGAAGGCGACCACCUGGACUGAUACUGACACUGAGGUGCGAAAGCGUGGGGAGCAAACAGGAUUAGAUACCCGAGUAGUCC
rnacentral:rRNA from 1 species